rnacentral:rRNA from 1 species
AUUGAACGCUGGCGGCAGGCUUAACACAUGCAAGUCGAGCGGAGUGAUGGUGCUUGCACUAUCACUUAGCGGCGGACGGGUGAGUAAUGCUUAGGAAUCUGCCAUUUAGUGGGGGACAACAUUCCGAAAGGAAUGCUAAUACCGCAUACGUCCUACGGGAGAAAGCAGGGGAUCUUCGGACCUUGCGCUAAAUGAUGAGCCUAAGUCGGAUUAGCUAGUUGGUGGGGUAAAGGCCUACCAAGGCGACGAUCUGUAGCGGGUCUGAGAGGAUGAUCCGCCACACUGGGACUGAGACACGGCCCAGACUCCUACGGGAGGCAGCAGUGGGGAAUAUUGGACAAUGGGCGGAAGCCUGAGCCAGCCAUGCCCCGUGUGUGAAGAAGGCCUUUUGGUUGUAAAGCACUUUAAGCGAGGAGGAGGCUACUAGUACUAAUACUACUGGAUAGUGGACGCUACUCGCAGAAUAAGCACCGGCUAACUCUGUGCCAGCAGCCGCGGUAACAC